rnacentral:rRNA from 1 species
GAUGAACGCUGGCGGCGUGCCUAAUACAUGCAAGUCGAGCGAACGGACGAGAAGCUUGCUUCUCUGAUGUUAGCGGCGGACGGGUGAGUAACACGUGGAUAACCUACCUAUAAGACUGGGAUAACUUCGGGAAACCGGAGCUAAUACCGGAUAAUAUUUUGAACCGCAUGGUUCAAAAGUGAAAGACGGUCUUGCUGUCACUUAUAGAUGGAUCCGCGCUGCAUUAGCUAGUUGGUAAGGUAACGGCUUACCAAGGCAACGAUGCAUAGCCGACCUGAGAGGGUGAUCGGCCACACUGGAACUGAGACACGGUCCAGACUCCUACGGGAGGCAGCAGUAGGGAAUCUUCCGCAAUGGGCGAAAGCCUGACGGAGCAACGCCGCGUGAGUGAUGAAGGUCUUCGGAUCGUAAAACUCUGUUAUUAGGGAAGAACAUAUGUGUAAGUAACUGUGCACAUCUUGACGGUACCUAAUCAGAAAGCCACGGCUAACUACGUGCCAGCAGCCGCGGUAAUACGUAGGUGGCAAGCGUUAUCCGGAAUUAUUGGGCGUAAAGCGCGCGUAGCGGUUUUUUAAGUCUGAUGUGAAAGCCCACGGCUCAACCGUGGAGGGUCAUUGGAAACUGGAAAACUUGAGUGCAGAAGAGGAAAGUGGAAUUCCAUGUGUAGCGGUGAAAUGCGCAGAGAUAUGGAGGAACACCAGUGGCGAAGGCGACUUUCUGGUCUGUAACUGACGCUGAUGUGCGAAAGCGUGGGGAUCAAACAGGAUUAGAUACCCUGGUAGUCCACGCCGUAAACGAUGAGUGCUAAGUGUUAGGGGGUUUCCGCCCCUUAGUGCUGCAGCUAACGCAUUAAGCACUCCGCCUGGGGAGUACGACCGCAAGGUUGAAACUCAAAGGAAUUGACGGGGACCCGCACAAGCGGUGGAGCAUGUGGUUUAAUUCGAAGCAACGCGAAGAACCUUACCAAACCUUGACAUCCUUUGACAACUCUAGAGAUAGAGCUUUCCCCUUCGGGGGACAAAGUGACAGGUGGUGCAUGGUUGUCGUCAGCUCGUGUCGUGAGAUGUUGGGUUAAGUCCCGCAACGAGCGCAACCCUUAAGCUUAGUUGCCAUCAUUAAGUUGGGCACUCUAAGUUGACUGCCGGUGACAAACCGGAGGAAGGUGGGGAUGACGUCAAAUCAUCAUGCCCCUUAUGAUUUGGGCUACACACGUGCUACAAUGGACAAUACAAAGGGCAGCGAAACCGCGAGGUCAAGCAAAUCCCAUAAAGUUGUUCUCAGUUCGGAUUGUAGUCUGCAACUCGACUACAUGAAGCUGGAAUCGCUAGUAAUCGUAGAUCAGCAUGCUACGGUGAAUACGUUCCCGGGUCU